CCUACGGGAGGCAGCAGUGAGGAAUAUUGGACAAUGGUCGGAAGACUGAUCCAGCCAUGCCGCGUGCAGGAAGACGGCCUUAUGGGUUGUAAACUGCUUUUGCAGGGGAAGAAUAAGGACUACGCGUAGUUUGAUGACGGUACUCUGCGAAUAAGCAUCGGCUAACUCCGUGCCAGCAGCCGCGGUAAUACGGAGGAUGCGAGCGUUAUCCGGAAUCAUUGGGUUUAAAGGGUCCGUAGGCGGGCUAAUAAGUCAGAGGUGAAAGCGCUCAGCUCAACUGAGCAACUGCCUUUGAAACUGUUAGUCUUGAAUGGUUGUGAAGUAGUUGGAAUGUGUAGUGUAGCGGUGAAAUGCUUAGAUAUUACACAGAACACCGAUAGCGAAGGCAUAUUACUAACAAUUAAUUGACGCUGAUGGACGAAAGCGUGGGGAGCGAACAGGAUUAGAUACCCUGGUAGUCCACGCUGUAAACGAUGGAUACUAGCUGUUUGGUUGAAAGACUGAGUGGCUAAGCGAAAGUGAUAAGUAUCCCACCUGGGGAGUACGCACGCAAGUGUGAAACUCAAAGGAAUUGACGG
rnacentral:rRNA from 1 species